rnacentral:lncRNA from 1 species
AUGUCACAUAUGCAGUUAUUGAAAAUAUAUGUGAAUAUCUGCUCCAUCCAGACUUACAACCGACUGAUUGCAGCCCUACCACAGAAAUGGAGGAGACAAGAGGAAGAGGGAGAAGGUAGGGAACUUGUUUACCUGGUUUAUCAACUGGUACAAAAAGGGAGGAGACAAGAGGAAAAGGGAGAAGGUAGGGAACUUGUUUACCUGGUUUAUCAACUGGUACAAAAAGGGAGGAGACAAGAGGAAAAGGGAGAAGGUAGGGAACUUGUUUACCUGGUUUAUCAACUGGUACAAAAAGGGAGGAGACAAGAGGAAAAGGGAGUAGGUAGGGAACUUGUUUACCUGGUUUAUCAACUGGUACAAAAAGGGAGGAGACAAGAGGUAAAGGGAGUAGGUAGGGAACUUGUUUACCUGGUUUAUCAACUGGUACAAAAAGGGAGGAGACAAGAGGAAAAGGGAGUAGGUAGGGAACUUGUUUACCUGGUUUAUCAACUGGUACAAAAAGGGAGGAGACAAGAGGUAAAGGGAGUAGGUAGGGAACUUGUUUACCUGGUUUAUCAACUGGUACAAAAAGGGAGGAGACAAGAGGAAAAGGGAGUAGGUAGGGAACUUGUUUACCUGGUUUAUCAACUGGUACAAAAAGGGAGGAGACAAGAGGAAAAGGGAGUAGGUAGGGAACUUGUUUACCUGGUUUAUCAACUGGUACAAAAAGGGAGGAGACAAGAGGAAAAGGGAGUAGGUAGGGAACUUGUUUACCUGGUUUAUCAACUGGUACAAAAAGGGAGGAGACAAGAGGUAAAGGGAGAAGGUAGGGAACUUGUUUGCUUGGUUUAUCAACUGGUACAAAAAGGGAGGAGACAAGAGGUAAAGGGAGUAGGUAGGGAACUUGUUUGCCUGCCAUAUAUUAAAGAUACAAAUUGGCUGAAAGGAACUGGCAGAAAUAGAACUAUAUAUCAAUUUCAUCUGAGGAUGGAGACAGCUCCACCAUACAGGUUGCAAAAUAAAUGGGAGGAGAUGUUCAAUGUACCAAUUCCAUGGCACAUGGUUUAUCAACUGGUACAAAAAACUACACUUGAUUCCACACUCAGAGUUUUUCAAUUUAAAUUCUUAUAUAACAUUCUAGCCACCAACAGAAUGCUACAUAAUAUUAUAUAA